rfam:Gossypium raimondii Chr07_contig_18, whole genome shotgun sequence.
UUUUUAAAAUUUCAUCCAUUUUUACUGUUAAAAAUUAAUAAUGCGGACGAAAUAACUAAACAAUUACAUAUGCCAUGCCACGCGUAUCUUAUGAUGACAUACAUGACCAAUUUUUAAUAGUAAAAAUGGAUAGAGUUGUUAAUA